UACAGAGGUGGCAAGCGUUGUUCGGAAUUACUGGGCGUAAAGGGCGAGUAGGUGGCCAUCUAAGUCAGACGUGAAAUCCCCGGGCUCAACCCGGGAACUGCGUCCGAUACUGGAAGGCUUGAAUCCGGGAGAGGGAUGUGGAAUUCCAGGUGUAGCGGUGAAAUGCGUAGAUAUCGCUUGGAACGCCGAAGGUGAAAACAGGCUGCUGGGGUUGCGCCGACGCUGAGACACGAAAGCCAGGGGAGCAAACGGG
rnacentral:rRNA from 1 species